AUGUACCCCCGUACAUUCCGGCUCCGCGCCGUCCGCACCCACCUGACAACUGCUCGCUAAGUUUUGUUAGCC
rnacentral:sRNA from 1 species